GGGGUUGUAACUCAGCUGGGAGAGUGCUAGCUUUGCAUGCUAGAAGUCCAGGGUUCAAAUCCCUGCUGCUCCA